CCCAAGAGAUCGGGAUAACACCUGGAAACAGAUGCUAAUACCGGAUAACAACAGAUGAUGCCUAUCAACUGUUUAAAAGAUGGUUCUGCUAUCACUCCUGGAUGGACCUGCGGUGCAUUAGCUAGUUGGUAGGGUAACGGCCUACCAAGGCGAUGAUGCAUAGCCGAGUUGAGAGACUGAUGGCCACAUUGGGACUGAGACACGGCCCAAACUCCUACGGGAGGCAGCAGUG
rnacentral:rRNA from 1 species